rnacentral:rRNA from 1 species
ACGUUUAUUGGGCCUAAAGCAUCCGUAGCCGGUUCUACAAGUCUUCCGUUAAAUCCACCUGCUUAACAGAUGGGCUGCGGAAGAUACUAUAGAGCUAGGAGGCGGGAGAGGCAAGCGGUACUCGAUGGGUAGGGGUAAAAUCCGUUGAUCCAUUGAAGACCACCAAUGGCGAAGGCGGCUUGCCAGAACGCGCUCGACGGUGAGGGAUGAAAGCUGGGGGAGCAAACCGG